rnacentral:lncRNA from 1 species
CUCAAAGCAAAUAAUAUUUACUCAUUGUUGAGUGCCUACCAUCUACCAAGUCCUUUAUAUGUAUCUUUGGAAUCUUCAGUCCUAUGAAAUGGAAACCAUAUCUUACUUCUAUUUACCUAAGGGCAUACAGCCAAUAAGGGCAAAACUAAGAAUUGACUUGACUGUCAGUCAUGUCUGACUCAACAGUUGUCUUGUGAAUGAGAUGGAUCAUAAAGUGAAGUGAUAUCAAUCAAGAGAAAUAGCCAUCACAUUGGAGCCAACAGACCUGGAUUAUUAUGCAAACUCACUGAGCCUCAGCUUCCUCAUCUUAAACCCCUCCACAGAGUCCUGUACCGUGAUGCUGACAAGGUGAAGAUGAAGUUAGUGAGCUCUUCUUAACGCGCCGCCGUGCUCUGUGAUAGGUCUUUGAAAACAAAGAUAAAUAUGAUACGGCUUUCAUUUCCCAGAAGUUCACAGAUUAGUGCCCCGAAGUACACAGUUACAUAACGGACAGGAAGGCCUGGGACUUCAGCGAAGGAUGACCUCGGGAACCGUGCGGUGGCCAGCUCUCAAUCUGGCCCUGCACUCAGGGGACCACUGCCGCCCGUCACGUAUGUUAUUGAGAAAAUGUUACCGAGAAACGUGAGAAAAAUGUUGUUCCUGCUCAUCAGCACAAGGACUUCCAGACCUGUCCCGCCAAGCAGCAUCCCCGACGACCGCAGGUUUUCCACUCUGUACGUGGCGCCCUUUCCAAGCCGUCCCCUCUGCCUCAGCAGAGGGAGCAGAAAUAAAAUAGUCCUGAAUCCAGAAGGCAAGUCCUACUUGGUCUCCAAUUCACUUAUCUUGACCGGUGAAGAGUUUAACUCUAGGACUAUGCCAGGCACUCUCUGGAUGGGCUUCUUC